GACGAACGCUGGCGGCGUGCUUAACACAUGCAAGUCGAGCGCUGAUGCCCUUUUUGGGGGUGGAUGAGCGGCGAACGGGUGAGUAACACGUGGGUGACCUGCCCUCAGCUCUGGGAUAAGCCUGGGAAACUGGGUCUAAUACCGGAUAUGACCUUUUGUUGCAUGACGAGGGGUGGAAAGUUCUCGGGCCUUUGGUCUGGGUUCGGCUGGGGAUGGGCCCGCGGCCUAUCAGCUUGNGGUUGGGGUGAUGGCUUACCAAGGCGACGACGGGUAGCCGGCCUGAGAGGGCGACCGGCCACACUGGGACUGAGACACGGCCCAGACUCCUACGGGAGGCAGCAGUGGGGAAUAUUGCGCAAUGGGCGGAAGCCUGAGCAGCGACGCCGCGUGGGGAU
rnacentral:rRNA from 1 species